rnacentral:rRNA from 1 species
UCGAGAAUUUUUCUCAAUGGGGGCAACCCUGAAGGAGCGACGCCGCGUGGAGGAUGAAGGCUUUCGGGUUGUAAACUCCUGUCAUUUGGGAACAAGUUGGACGUGUUAACUGCACGUGCAUUGAUAGUACCAGAAGAGGAAGGGACGGCUAACUCUGUGCCAGCAGCCGCGGUAAUACAGAGGUCCCAAGCGUUGUUCGGAUUCAUUGGGCGUAAAGGGUGCGUAGGUGGCGCCGUAAGUCGGGUGUGAAAUUUCGGAGCUUAACUCCGAAACUGCAUUCGAUACUGCGGUGCUUGAGGACUGGAGAGGAGACUGGAAUUCAUGGUGUAGCAGUGAAAUGCGUAGAGAUCAUGAGGAAGACCAGUGGCGAAGGCGGGUCUCUGGACAGUUCCUGACACUGAGGCACGAAGGCCAGGGGAGCAAACGGGAUUAGAUACCCCCGUAGUCC